UUAGGUGUUAUGUUGUUUCUUUCCGGAGCGU
rnacentral:piRNA from 1 species